UCCUCUACCUGCUAAUGAGUAUUUAUGAGUGAUUGCUCAGCUUUUUAGGUUCAGUUGGUUGGUUUGGCAUGUUAGAAGCUAUUAUCUAUAUCAUUAAAGCUGGUAUAAUUUAAUAUUUCUUCAUUUAGCAUCAGUUUAAAAAAAAAUUGCAUAUAUUAUGAAUAGUUUAAACAUAAUUUGUCAAGAGAGAUUACUAUGUUUUCAGAUACAGAAUUCCUUGUUAGCCCUUUAUUCAAGACAAUACACGAGAGCUAGUAACUAGAUAUGAAAGAUAGAUUAUUUAGGGUGCCUACAGAAGAUUUUGAUUUGGGUCUUGGAACCAUGAUUUAGUUUCCUACAUGUGUCAUUACCCCAGUAUUGUUAUGGGGGCUUUCUGUUUGCAAUCUUUCUUCUCUUUUCAUUCCUAGGACUUUUUUUUUAUUCUGAAAAUUAGUUUUCUGAAUAUAUUUUUUGUAUUAAAACUAAAAUCUGGAAUAAAGGGAGCACGACCAAAUAAGUUGGAGGCGUUGCUUAGCGAAGAUUCUUGUUUAUGGAUAUGUAGAUGUGUUGGAAUUUUGAAUAUUUAUCAUAUAAAAAUUUAUGUUAAAAUUUAAAUUUCUAGUAAUUGGACUCUUAUUCAGGCUUUCACCAAGUAAGUCAAGG
rnacentral:lncRNA from 1 species